GGGGGGUGCAAGCGUUGCUCGGAAUCACUGGGCGUAAAGCGUCCGCAGGCGGCUUGAUAAGUCGGGUGUGAAAGCCCGGGGCUCAACCCCGAGUCGGCCAUGCGAACUGCUCGACUUGAGCACUGUAGAGGCAGACGGAAUUCCGGGUGUAGCGGUGGAAUGCGUAGAGAUCCGGAAGAACACCGGUGGCGAAGGCGGUCUGCUGGGCAGUUGCUGACACUGAGGCGCGACAGCGUGGGGAGCA
rnacentral:rRNA from 1 species